UACGGAGGGUGCAAGCGUUAUCCGGAUUCACUGGGUUUAAAGGGUGCGUAGGUGGGCUGGUAAGUCAGUGGUGAAAUCUCCAGGCUUAACUUGGAAACUGCCAUUGAUACUAUCAGUCUUGAAUACCGUGGAGGUCAGCGGAAUAUGUCAUGUAGCGGUGAAAUGCUUAGAUAUGACAUAGAACACCCAUUGCGAAGGCAGCUUACUACACGAUCAUUGACGCUGAGGCACGAAAGCGUGGGGAGCAAACAGG
rnacentral:rRNA from 1 species